rnacentral:rRNA from 1 species
UGAGGAAUUUUCGGCAAUGGGGGCAACCCUGACCGAGCAACGCCGCGUGCAGGAAGACGGCCUUCGGGUUGUAAACUGCUUUUCUCUGGGACGAGAUGUGGACGGUACCAGAGGAAUCAGCCCCGGCUCACUACGUGCCAGCAGCCGCGGUAAGACGUAGGGGGCGAGCGUUGUCCGGAGUUACUGGGCGUAAAGCGCACGCAGGCGGCACGGCACGUGUGGGGUGAAAGCUCCGGGCUUAACCCGGAGUCGCCCCCGCAUACGGCCGCGCUUGAGCCGUUCAGAGGUCCCUCGAAUUGCCGGUGUAGUGGUGAAAUGCGUAGAGAUCGGCAGGAAGACCCACGGGGAAGCCAGGGGACUGGGAACGUGCUGACGCUCAGGUGCGAGAGCGUGGGGAGCGAA